CCUACGGGAGGCAGCAGUGAGGAAUAUUGGUCAAUGGGCGUAAGCCUGAACCAGCCAAGUCGCGUGAGGGAUGAAGGUUCUAUGGAUCGUAAACCUCUUUUAUAAGGGAAUAUAGUGUGGGACGUGUCCUGUUUUGUAUGUACCUUAUGAAUAAGGAUCGGCUAACUCCGUGCCAGCAGCCGCGGUAAUACGGAGGAUCCGAGCGUUAUCCGGAUUUAUUGGGUUUAAAGGGUGCGUAGGCGGCCUUUUAAGUCAGCGGUGAAAGUCUGUGGCUAAACCAUAGAAUUGCCGUUGAAACUGGGAGGCUUGAGUAUGUUUGAGGCGGGAGGAAUGCGUGGUGUAGCGGUGAAAUGCUUAGAUAUCACGCAGAACCCCGAUUGCGAAGGCAGCCUGCCAAGCCAUGACUGACGCUGAUGCACGAAAGCGUGGGGAUCAAACAGGAUUAGAUACCCUAGUAGUC
rnacentral:rRNA from 1 species